rnacentral:rRNA from 1 species
UACGUAGGGCGCAAGCGUUGUCCGGAAUUAUUGGGGCGUAAAGAGCUCGUAGGCGGCUUGUCACGUCGGGGUGUGAAAGCCCGGGGCUUAACCCCGGGUCUGCAUUCGAUACGGGCUAGCUAGAGUGUGGUAGGGGGAGAUCGGAAUUCCUGGUGUAGCGGUGAAAAUGCGCAGAUAUCAGGAGGAACACCGGUGGCGAAGGCGGAUCUCUGGGCCAUUACUGACGCUGAGGAGCGAAAGCGUGGGGGAGCGAACAGG